AGUGAACGCUGGCGGUAGGCCUAACACAUGCAAGUCGAACGGCAGCACAGUAAGAGCUUGCUCUUACGGGUGGCGAGUGGCGGACGGGUGAGGAAUACAUCGGAAUCUACUUUUUCGUGGGGGAUGACGUAGGGAAACUUACGCUAAUACCGCAUACGACCUACGGGUGAAAGCAGGGGAUCUUCGGACCUUGCGCGAUUGAAUGAGCCGAUGUCGGAUUAGCUAGUUGGCGGGGUAAAGGCCCACCAAGGCGACGAUCCGUAGCUGGUCUGAGAGGAUGAUCAGCCACACUGGAACUGAGACACGGUCCAGACUCCUACGGGAGGCAGCAGUGGGGAAUAUUGGACAAUGGGCGCAAGCCUGAUCCAGCCAUACCGCGUGGGUGAAGAAGGCCUUCGGGUUGUAAAGCCCUUUUGUUGGGAAAGAAAAGCAGCAGGUUAAUACCCCGCUGUUCUGACGGUACCCAAAGAAUAAGCACCGGCUAACUUUGUG
rnacentral:rRNA from 1 species